rnacentral:rRNA from 1 species
UCACGUUUGCUCGCACGUGCUCGGCACUUGUCGUGUCUGGACGGCCAUUUGUGCCCCCGUUUGGGCGUAAGUUCAAACGGUGGGUCUGGUUGCCGGCACGCAGGUUGGCUCCGAGCCGCGGCGGACCGCACUUCUCCCUUAGUAGGACGUCGCGACCCGCUCGUCCGUGGUCUACGGCUGAGUAAGAUGCCUGACACUCGUGCUGGUCCUUUUGGGCUAGCGGCUUGAGUCAGACUGCUCGUGCUUCCUGACCACGGUAACGGACGGUAUCAAAUACCGGUGUCGAGUCGCUUCUUAGCGAGGGGGAAAUAAAACACCCUCUCGUACGGAAGCGCCCUAGGCAGAGGGCAAGGUUUCUGAGUUUCUAAAAACGUAAGUUUUGAAGUCAAGACGUUUGUUUUCUGUUCGUCUGACGGAGCUCGGGCCUGUUGGUUCUCUGUCUUUGGGCUGGCUCAUUCCCAUUGCGCGGAGAAUGGCACCAGUCAGCGGCGAUCUAGUUUUGGGCUCUUUUCCGACCCGUCUUGAAACACGGACCAAGGAGUUUAGCGUGCUCGCGAGUCAUUGGGUGUUACAAAACCUAAAGGCGAAAUGAAAGUAAAGAGAGUUUUUUGACUCUCAAGGGAGGAUGAGCUACUGCUCUGGUCGUUCUAACCGACGGCUGAGCGUGUCUCCGCACUCCCGGGGCGAUUCUUUCUCAUUGCGAGUGGAGGCGCACCAAGAGCGAGCACGCUGAAACCCGAAAGAUGGUGAACUAUGCCUGGCCAGGACGAAGCCAGGGGAAACCCUGGUGGAGGUCCGCAGCGAUUCUGACGUGCAAAUCGAUCGUCGGAGCUGGGUAUAGGGGCGAAAGACCAAUCGAACCAUCUAGUAGCUGGUUCCCUCUGAAGUUUCCCUCAGGAUAGCUUGCGCUCGGGUGUGAAGAGUCUCAUCCGGUAGAGCGAAUGAUUAGAGGCCUUGGGGUCGAAACGACCUCAACCUAUUCUCAAACUCCAAAUAGAUGAGAACCCCGGCUUGCUUGAAUUUUUUUUUUAUAUUUGAAGCCGCGGGACUCGGAUCAGAGUGCCAAGUGGGCCAAUUUUGGUAAGCA